rnacentral:lncRNA from 1 species
GUCUUCAAGCUGAGCACACACUGAGCACUGGGCCUGCCUUCUUCCUAACACAGGUUUUUGUAAGCUCCAGACAUUGGAUAAAGCAUUUUGAGGGAUAGGUGAAAACGAAAUCCUGCCCUUUACUCUUGAGAACUCACUCUGCUGUGGGAGGAGAGACAGGCAGGUUACAGGGAGAGCACCCUGUCUGUGAAGAAGCAGGUUCUCAUCUGAUACCAAAUCUGCUGGCACCUUGAUCUUGGACUUCCCAGACUCCAGGACUGAAGAUCACAGAUUGACAUCAGCAGGAAAACUUGCCAGGCAGCAGGAGGAUCCAUUUGAAAACUCACGAGAAAAAGGCCCUUGAGGCCUUUUUCCUGGUUAUUGAAGACAUCUUAGGAAACACUUAUGGUGACAAUUAAUCAAGCAAAAAUAGAUCCAGUUUUUCUGAAGAUCAAGCUUAACAUGUGUGCCAUGCUUUAAAAUGUCUUUCCAGGCACUCUCUCCUGCCCACGGAUCUUGCUUGGGAAAGGAAUGGGGCAAGUGGAAAUGGCCAUUUCUUAGAUGAACACAUCAGGGACUUGCUCCAGUCUGAAGUCUAUACAGAGCUAGGCUUUGAAUCCAGUCACGUAACUGCAUAGCAGCAAAUCAGCCUUUCAGAAUAUUGCAGGAUCAGCAAUGAAAUUCCCUUUGCCAGAGAAAUGGACAAACAAGGAAGCAACAAUGGUGAUGGUGGAAGUGUUCUUCAAGUCUAAGUUUGGGUUCUAGAAACAUCUGGCCAAAUAACGUCUUUCACAACUAAAAUAGAAUAUAAAGAAGCCAUUUGACCUGCCUCAGUUAUCAUGGUCAUCAUGACAAGCUGCAGCAGGACAAAUCAGCUUAACAAUUUCGGAAACUGCCAGAAAUGCUAUUUGGAUUAAUUUUUAUUUGGGAGUUGGCUAAAACUGGUCACAUCCCCAAAUACCUCAAGAUAAACAACAUAGCAUUAUCAUACAAAUCUAUAUUCACCAAAUUAGGUUAAAAUAGGCUGUUUUGAGAAGGUUGAAUUUUUUUAUGGGGAUUAUUCCCAAAAUACGUUUAGACACAAGAAGUUCAACUUUUCUUUUUUCCAUAUUUGAUGUCAAUCAAACUAAUUACUACAUGUUUGGAAUUGCAUUAAUUGUAUUCUUCAGUUACCUAUAAAAUUUAAUUAUCAUG